rnacentral:ncRNA from 2 species
CAACAAAAGAUUCCUGCAGGUGCCCCACCGGGGAGAAUAGGGAAUCGGGUGCAAGUCCCGAGCGGUCCCGCCACUGUAAACGGAGAGCCGAUACCAUUUAAAGCCACUGGCCGCAGGCCGGGAAGGCAGGUUAUCAGGCCAUGACCCGUAAGCCAGGAGACCUGCCUGGAGGAUCCAUGUUAU